GAAGCGCUUGCACCAGACCCUGCCUGCAGUUGCUCAUCCGGGCUUUUGCCCGGUGCACUCUUCUGCUGUCAGGCCAGCAUCGGUUCGGGCGGUCGGAUAAAGGCUUCGGGAAUGUAGCUCCUCUCGAGGAGUGUUAUAGCCCGUUGCGAAAUGCGGCCAGCCUGAACUGAGGUCCGCGCUUCGGCUAGGAUGCUGGCGUAAUGGUUGUAAGCGGCCCGUCUUGAAACACGGACCAAGGAGUCUAACAUCUGUGCGAGUGUUUGGGUGUCAAACCCGUACGCGUAAUGAAAGUGAACGGAGGCGGGAACCCCUCGGGGUGCACCGUCGACCGAUCCUGAUGUCUUCGGAUGGAUUUGAGUAAGAGCAUAGCUGUUGGGACCCGAAAGAUGGUGAACUAUGCCUGAAUAGGGUGAAGCCAGAGGAAACUCUGGUGGAGGCUCGCAGCGGUUCUGACGUGCAAAUCGAUUGUCAAAUUUGGGCAUAGGGGCGAAAGACUAAUCGAACUAUCUAGUAGCUGGUUCCUGCCGAAGUUUCCCUCAGGAUAGCAGUAACGUUUUCAGUUUUAUGAGGUAAAGCGAAUGAUUAGAGGCCUGGGGGUUGAAACAACCUUCACCUAUUCUCAAACUUUAAAUAUGUAAGAAGUCCUUGUUACUUAGUUGAACGUGGACAUCUGAAUGUAUCGUUACUAGUGGGCCAUUUUUGGUAAGCAGAACUGGCGAUGCGGGAUGAACCGAACGCGGAGUUAGGGUGCCGGAAUGCACGCUCAUCAGACACCACAAAAGGUGUUGGUUCAUCUAG
rnacentral:rRNA from 1 species